AUACGGAGGAUCCGAGUGUUAUCCGGAUUUAUUGGGUUUAAAGGGUGCGCAGGCGGCCAUUUAAGUCAGCGGUUAAAUCGUGGGGCUCAACCCCAUUCUGCCGUUGAUACUGGGUGGCUUGAUUGCGGUCGAGGUUGGCGGAAUUCGUUGUGUAGCGGUGAAAUGCAUAGAUAUGACGAAGAACACCGAUUGCGUAGGCAGCUGACCAGACCGCAAAUGACGCUCAUGCACGAAAGUGCGGGGAUCGAACAGGAUUAGAUACCCUGGUAGUCCGCACAGUAAACGAUGAAUACUUGUUUUCGGCGAUAUAAUGUCGGAGGCAAAGCGAAAGCGAUAAGUAUUCCACCUGGGGAGUACGCCGGCAACGGUGAAACUCAAAGGAAUUGACGGGG
rnacentral:rRNA from 1 species